rnacentral:rRNA from 1 species
GGCUUGGGCGGCAGCUACACAUGCAGUCGAGCGGUAACAGAUCCAGCUUGCUGGAUGCUGACGAGCGGCGGACGGGUGAGUAAUGCAUAGGAAUCUGCCCGAUAGUGGGGGAUAACCUGGGGAAACCCAGGCUAAUACCGCAUACGUCCUACGGGAGAAAGGGGGCUUCGGCUCCCGCUAUCGGAUGAGCCUAUGUCGGAUUAGCUAGUUGGUGAGGUAACGGCUCACCAAGGCCACGAUCCGUAGCUGGUCUGAGAGGAUGAUCAGCCACAUCGGGACUGAGACACGGCCCGAACUCCUACGGGAGGCAGCAGUGGGGAAUAUUGGACAAUGGGGGGAACCCUGAUCCAGCCAUGCCGCGUGUGUGAAGAAGGCCCUCGGGUUGUAAAGCACUUUCAGCGAGGAAGAACGCCUAGCGGUUAAUACCCGCUAGGAAAGACAUCACUCGCAGAAGAAGCACCGGCUAACUCCGUGCCAGCAGCCGCGGUAAUACGGAGGGUGCAAGCGUUAAUCGGAAUUACUGGGCGUAAAGCGCGCGUAGGUGGCUUGAUAAGCCGGUUGUGAAAGCCCCGGGCUCAACCUGGGAACGGCAUCCGGAACUGUCAAGCUAGAGUGCAGGAGAGGAAGGUAGAAUUCCCGGUGUAGCGGUGAAAUGCGUAGAGAUCGGGAGGAAUACCAGUGGCGAAGGCGGCCUUCUGGACUGACACUGACACUGAGGUGCGAAAGCGUGGGUAGCAAACAGGAUUAGAUACCCUU